UACGUAGGGUGCAAGCGUUAAUCGGAAUUACUGGGCGUAAAGCGUGCGCAGGCGGUUUUGUAAGUCUGUCGUGAAAUCCCCGGGCUCAACCUGGGAAUGGCGAUGGAGACUGCAAGGCUGGAAUCUGGCAGAGGGGGGGUAGAAUUCCACGUGUAGCAGUGAAAUGCGUAGAGAUGUGGAGGAACACCGAUGGCGGAAGGCAGCCCCCCUGGGUCAAGAUUGACGCUCAUGCACGAAAGCGUGGGGAGCAAACAGG
rnacentral:rRNA from 1 species